rnacentral:rRNA from 1 species
CAACCUGCCCUUCAGUGGGGGAUACCUAGCCGAAAGGUUAGCUAAUACCGCAUACGGUGUGUGACUGGGAUGUCACAUACGAAAGAUUUAUCGCUGAAGGAUGGGCCCAUGGUCGAUUAGCUAGUUGGUGAGGUAACGGCUCACCAAGGCGACGAUCGAUAGCUGGUCUGAGAGGAUGAUCAGCCACACUGGGACUGAGACACGGCCCAG